AGGGUGGAAAUAGAAUUGAAAGGGUGGAGAGCCUCUCCGAAUAUUUUAAUAACAUUGCAAUGUUUCAAGCUAAUAAGCCAACAAACGCGUUGUUCGUUACUCCGGCUGAAGAAAGUACAGACAAUGACAAUAAUGGAAAUGAAGAGCCCUCGCCCGUUGGUAUUGAAACUGCACCGGAACGAAGGAAAUUUUUAAAGAUGCCAAAAACUACAACACCGUAUUAAAUACAAUAUAGUUUUGUAUUUGUAGCACAUGUUUAAUAUAUUGUGUUAAUUCUCGAGUUUCAGAUAAACUUAUUUAAUUAUAAUAGUA